rnacentral:rRNA from 1 species
UACGUAGGGUGCGAGCGUUAAUCGGAAUUACUGGGCGUAAAGCGUGCGCAGGCGGUUUUGUAAGUCAGAUGUGAAAGCCCCGGGCUCAACCUGGGAAUUGCAUUUGAAACUACAAGGCUAGAGUGUGUCAGAGGGGGGUAGAAUUCCACGUGUAGCAGUGAAAUGCGUAGAGAUGUGGAGGAAUACCGAUGGCGAAGGCAGCCCCCUGGGAUAACACUGACGCUCAUGCACGAAAGCGUGGGGAGCAAACAGG